UGUGUCCAUUCAACCCUGAAUGCUCCCGACCCCAUCUAGUCUCAGAAGCUAAGCAGAGGAGGGCCUGGUUGUUACUUAGAUGGAAGACAUGAUCAGCUUCAAAGCUAUCAGGAAGGACACAC
rnacentral:rRNA from 1 species